GAAAUGCGAUAAGUAGUGUGAAUUGCAGAAUUCAGUGAAUCAUCGAAUCUUUGAACGCACAUUGCGCCCUUUGGUAUUCCUUAGGGCAUGCCUGUUCGAGCGUCAUUUGUAACCUCAAGCUCAGCUUGGUGUUGGGUGUCUGUCCCCGCCCCGCGCGGGGACUCGCCUCAAAAACAUUGGCGGCCGGUACGUUGGCUUCGAGCGCAGCAGAAACGCGAACUCGAGGCCCGACGGAUCGGCGACCAGAAGUCACUUCUUCCACAGCUUGACCUCGGAUUAGGUAGGGAUACCCGCUGAACUUAAGC
rnacentral:misc_RNA from 1 species